rnacentral:rRNA from 1 species
UACGUAGGGUGCGAGCGUUAAUCGGAAUUACUGGGCGUAAAGCGUGCGCAGGCGGCGCGUUAAGACAGGUGUGAAAGCCCCGAGCUUAACUUGGGAAUUGCGCUUGUGACUGGCGAGCUGGAGUGUGGCAGAGGGAGGUGGAAUUCCACGUGUAGCAGUGAAAUGCGUAGAGAUCCGGAGGAACCCCAGAGGCGAAGGCGGCGCCCUGGCUCGUACCUGACGCUCAUACACGACAGCAUGGGGAGCGAACGGG